rnacentral:rRNA from 1 species
CAGAGGUCUCAAGCGUUGUUCGGAUUCAUUGGGCGUAAAGGGUGCGUAGGUGGCGGGGCAAGUCUGGUGUGAAAUCCCGGGGCUCAACCCCGGAACUGCACUGGAUACUGCCUUGCUAGAGCACUGGAGAGGGAACUGGAAUUUACGGUGUAGCAGUGAAAUGCGUAGAUAUCGUAAGGAAGACCAGUGGCGAAGGCGAGUUCCUGGACAGUUGCUGACACUGAGGCACGAAGGCUAGGGGAGCAAACGGGAUUAGAUACCCCGGUAGUCCUAGCAGUAAACGGUGCGCGUUUGGUGUAGGAGGAUUCGACCCCUUCUGUGCCGGAGCUAACGCGUUAAACGCGCCGCCUGGGGAGUACGGUCGCAAGAUUA